rnacentral:rRNA from 16 species
UGAAGAGCGUAAUAGUAUAUUGCUUGCUUGACUGCAAGAUUGACAAAUCAAGCAGGGACGAAAGUCGGUUAUAGUGAUCCGGUGAUUCUGUGUGGAAAAGAUCAUCGCUCAACGGAUAAAAGGUACGCCGGGGAUAACAGGCUAAUCACUCCCUAGAGACCCUAUCGACGGAGUGGUUUGGCACCUCGAUGUUGGAUUAUCGCAUCCUGGAACUGUAAACGGUUCCAAGGGUUUGGCUGUUCGCCAAGGAAGGCGGUACAUGAUCUGAGUUUAGAACGUCGUGAGACAGUUUGGUCCCUAUCUACCGUAAGCGUUAAAAAAUUGUGAAGAGUAAACCUUAGUACGAGAGGACCGGGAAAAGUAAACCAAUGGUGUAUCGAUUGCUAUUCCAAUAGCAUUGUCGAGUAGCUAAGUUUGUAAUAGAUAAUCGCUGAAAGCAUCUAAGCGAGA